AUUGAACGCUGGCGGCAGGCUUAACACAUGCAAGUCGAGCGGAGCGAGGGUGCUUGCACCUUAGCUUAGCGGCGGACGGGUGAGUAAUGCUUAGGAAUCUGCCUAUUAGCGGGGGACAACAUUCCGAAAGGAAUGCUAAUACCGCAUACGUCCUACGGGGGAAAGCAGGGGAUCUUCGGACCUUGCGCUAAUAGAUGAGCCUAAGUCGGAUUAGCUAGUUGGUGGGGUAAAGGCCUACCAAGGCGACGAUCUGUAGCGGGUCUGAGAGGAUGGUCCACCACACUGGGACGGGGACACGGCCCAGCUUCCUCCGGGAGGCAGCAGUGGGGAAUAUUGGACAAUGGGCGGAAGCCUGAUCCAGCCAUGCCGCGUGUGUGAAGGAGGCCUUUUGGUUGUAAAGCACUUUAAGCGAGGAGGAGGCUACUAGUAUUAAUACUACCGGAUAGUGGACGUUACUCGCAGAAUAAGCACCGGCUAACUCUGUGCCAGCAGCCGCGGUAACAC
rnacentral:rRNA from 1 species